rnacentral:rRNA from 1 species
GUAGUCCACGCUGUAAACGAUGGAUACUUGAUGUUAGAGGUAUUGACCCCUCUAGUGUCGAAGCUAACGCGUUAAGUAUCCCGCCUGGGGAGUACGGUCGCAAGAUUAAAACUCAAAGAAAUUGACGGGGGCCCGCACAAGCGGUGGAGAAUGUGGUUUAAUUCGAUGCAACGCGAAAAACCUUACCUGGGUUUGGAAUCCCGUGAAUGUCGUAGAGAUACGCCAGUCUCGUAAGAGACACGGAGACAGGUGCUGCAUGGCUGUCGUCAGCUCGUGUCGUGAGAUGUUGGGUUAAGUCCCGCAACGAGCGCAACCCUUAUCUUUAGUUGCCAGCAUUAAGUUGGGCACUCUAGAGAGACUGCCAACGUUAAGUUGGA